GCAGAGAUGGCGGAACCUGGUUAACGCGCCAGCCUUGAGAGCUGGUGGGCGCAAGCCCGUGUGGGUUCAAAUCCCACUCUCUGCG
rnacentral:tRNA from 1 species